rnacentral:lncRNA from 1 species
AGAGAUCUAACGAUCCUCCCUUAAAAUAAUGAGUUCGCUCUGAAGAUUGUGGGAGGAUUAUCCUACAAUGUUAAAAUUAGUAUGGAUGUAGUGAAAGGAAGUAAUAAUCAUUGGAUAAAAGGAUGAGUUCAUCCUAUAGAUCAUUCCAGAAAUAUCUACAAGUAUGCCAAAAGUCAUACUUCAACCAACAAGCAUAAAGGAUGAUCGUAGUCUCUACAAUAAUCAUCCCUUCCUUCCUCUUAGGUAUAGACUCAACAAAUCUAGUUUUAUUUAGGAUAGGUUUCCUUUUGUUAUUUUAAUUUACAUUCUCUUGAUACUUGUAAUGCAUAUUAUUGUUCUUGGAAGUACAAACAUCGAUUUUUAGGAUUUUUAUCCAAAGGGGGAUUUGUGUUUUUAUGUUCUUCUUCGUAAUUUUAUAAUUAUGAUUUCUUCUUAAAUUGUUAUUGUAUGCUUGAAAUCAUAAGUAUCCAAACAACACAGCUAGGGUUGUGGGAACCAUGAUAGAUUAACAAAGUAGUGUGCAAAGUAUGACAUGAUUCUUAAAGGGUAUUUGUGCAUGUAUUUUAACUCUCAUUGAUUUGAUAGCUUUCUAACAAUGGCCAAUUUAGGAAUUCACCUUAUCCUUACUUUUAGUGAAAGAAGGUGUAACGAUUGGGAAAAGGGAAUUAACCACGAGACUUGGAACUAUCGAUCUCUAUUUAAUUAGCUACCUUGAAUCAGUAAAUAGGAUAUCUUAUAUGAAAUCAACAAUAGGGGUUAGUAAUGCAAAACUCAGGAGAUGAUAAUAGGUGAUUGAGGAUAGUAAUCAAAUGGGGUGUAAAUUAAUUUAGAUGAACAUAACCUAUCAGUUUGGCAUACCGAGCCCCAUGAGAGAUCAGUAUGACAAACAUAAGGAUUUAUGAAUUUAUGGGGAACACAACCCUAGUGUAUCUCUUACAUUGAUUAUAAAUCCAAUGAACUUAUUACUUUUUGAUGUUCUCAAAACUCCCCAUUACUGGAAAUCGUUCACUAAUUGUGUAGGCAGACAUGAUGAUAGCUAUUUUGACCUAUUCCUCAUGGAUCAAGCCCAACUCAGUUGGGCUCUAUAUUUUGUCAAUGACCUCUUUAUAUAUUUAUCAGAGAUAUAAUUUAGGUGAAAUUAAAUUUUGGUACCAUUGGUAGGGAAUAUGGUUACAGAGUUUUUGAUUUUGUUUGUUUGGCUAUUGAUUUUUGUUUCAACAAUUUAAAUUAUUCUAUUGAUUUUAACGAGCACACUGGUGCAUGCCCAACACUCGAAUAUAUGGACAUCUUCUAAUUCCACUUGAUACUAAAAUUGAAAGGACUCUGAGAGUUAGAUGAAAAAUGGUUAACGAUGAGUUCAUAACCAUGUAGUUCUUAACUAUGAAAUAUAGAUGAGGGAGUCCUGAAUCAACCAAGAAAUCUUCAUGGGAUUUAUGAGACUUUGGAGAAAACCACUACUUGAUUUGUUGUUGAAUAUUGCAUAAGACAAAAAGCUGAUAGGCAUACAAUAAGAGAAGAAAGGGCUAGACAAGCUUAAGUGGGCCAUUCGAUCGCACUUGAGGAAUAAAUAGGCCAAAAAGGAAUAGGGAAAACAACUUUUGCAAAAUUAUGUUCCUCAGUUUGAUGAUACAGAGGAUGAUCUAGAAUUUAUUAAGGCAACUGAAACAGGUGUUAUUAUUCCACCACCAUUACAUAGGAACUAAGUUCGAUAUCACCAGAGCAAUGAUACAACUACUAAAAUUGAAAAGAGUGUUCAAGGGCCUUUCUAUUGCUAACAAAAAACUUCAUCUAUUGAGAUUUUUAGGGAUUUGCACUUCCUAUAAUUUAUCCAAUUUAUGUCAAGUAGUUAUUAGACUACGAUUUUUUCCUUCUCUCUGACUAGAGAAGCCGCUCUAUAGUUGACUAAGUCACCAAAAGGGUCAAUUAUCAAUUGGAAAGAGUUAAAGACAACUUUUGGAGCUUUUUUCCCACCCUCUAGAAUGUUGCAGUUGAAAGAUGAGAAGGCAAUUAUAUUCUAAAACAUUGUAUGAAACUUGGUUAAGGAUUAGGAAGUUGUAGAAUGUCCCAACCACCGAAUAUAAGUCCUUAAUUUUCUUGAGAUAUUAUACAGAUGUUAGACUAUGAAUAAUAAGGUUAUAGACAACAUUGUCAUAGGUGAAACGAUUGGGAGUUUAACUUGGAAGCAGGCUUCUGAGAUUCUUGAUAUGAUCACAAAAAUCAAUAAAGGUUGGCACAUUCGAUAGGUAGACAAGCCCAUAUACACUUAUAUGAUAAAAACAUCUAUAGAAAAGUGAAUGGUCAAUGAUUUUAUUACCUAGGAUUUAGCAUAUUUGAGGACUAAAUUUGGCUUAUUCAUAAAAUAAUCAAAAGUUGGGGGCUAAAAAUUAUUAAUGGGGUUGGUUCAUAAGGUAAGUAACCUAUACAUAAUGAACUUAAUUCUAACGAGGAGGCAAAGUAUCUAAAUAGUAAAGUGGAGAGUUUUAAAUCCAAAGGACAAGGGUCUCAAGAAAUUAGUGUUCUAAUCAAAGAAACCAAGGUCGAAACUACUACAGGAAAAAUAACUACAGUUUAUUUAGGUAUAGAGAUAAUAAUCAUGGUAGAGAUGGUGAAUUGAAGAUGAAGGAUGAUUACAAAGAUAAAAGUGGCCUCUUUAUUCCACUGGGAACUAUGAUGAUUUGAGUAAUAUAAGAGUGGAAGACAUACUAGAUAAUGUGGUGAAAGGGGUCGAGAAAAUAAAAGACUACUGUAAGGAUCUUAGAGAAGAUAUUUUAGGAAUGAGUCAGAAGGUUAAAUCAUAUGAUAACAACAUUAAGAAACUUUAUUAGCAUCAUGUUAAGAUUUUAGUCGUAAUGAAUCUGUGUCAAUAAGGCACACUUCUAAGAAACACCAUCCAAAAUCUAAAAACAAUGGUAAUUGCUUAGAGAUUACUACUAGGAUUGGUAAGAUGAUGGUUUGACCACCUAUAUUCACAGUUACUAUGAAUGAUAUUGAGUCAGUGAUUAUCGAUGACAAAAAAGUAGUGGAGUCCAAAAAACUCAUUGAUAAUCUACUGCUACUAAAAAUUAUACAGAGUGGGUGUUGGGGUCACCUAAAUUAACUUUGAUGAGACUUCUCAUGAUGGACAACACUAUGAAGAAGAAGAUUGGAAUUUUAUGUAAUGUUUUAGUGAGGGUUUCAUACCUUAUUAUUCCCACUGAUUUUACUAUCGUUGACAGUGAGAUUGAAUUUGAGGUUCCCGUUAUCUUGGAAAAACCAUUCCUUAGUACUAGAUGAGAAUUGGUUAAUAUAGAUACAGGGCAAAUGAAGAUUCAAUUAAAUCAUAAGCAAGUAACAUUUAAUAUAUGGCAAUCCAUGAAGUAUCCAAAGGACAUACAUGAUCUCUAUUAUUAAUACAGUUAACAAAGAUGCAUCGGUAGCUCCUAUUAAGGAGAGACUUAGAGUUGAAGAACAUUCAAUAGGAAUUAUGAAUUUUAAGUGUGAUGAAAUUAAUGGUUAUGAUUAGAUAAUGAGCGUAUUUGCUAAUUUGGGUUCCUACACUUUUGCACAAAAGAAGUUCGAUCUUGAUUUGAAGAAUAAAGUGACCUCGCCAACUAAGCCUUCUAUUAAGGAGCUUCCUAUUUUAAAACUCAAAGCUCUUCCAUCCCAUUUUCCUUAUGUAUUAUUGAGAGCCAAUUAAAAUUUGUCAGUUAUUACCGCAGCUGAUUUAGUAGAUUGGUAGUUUGAGGCUCUAGUGUUUAUGUUGCAGAAGUUUAAGAGGUCCAUUAGAUGUUCCAUUAAUGAUAUCAAUGCAACUCUACCUAGAAUUUUCACAUAUAAGAUCUAAAUAUAGCCAAAUUGUGUUCGUAGUAUUGAGUAUUGAUGAAGACUUAAUUUUCCUAUACAAGAGAUAGUUAUGAAUGAGAUUAUCAUGUAGUUUACCCUAUUGCCGAUAGCAAAUAGAUGGGCCUGGUUUAAUAUUAAGUCAAAAAAGGUGGAAUAAAUAUGGUUCCAGAUGCAAAAAUGAGUUUAUUCCUAUGUGGUCAAUCACUAUUGGUAAGUACGCAUAUAUUAUAGGAAGCUGAAUGCAUGGACUAAAAAGGAUCAUUUUUUAUGUCUUUUAUGGAUCAAAUGUUGGAUUUUCUUACUGGUACAAGAUGAUAUUAUUUUCUUGAUGGUUAUUUUGGUUAUAAUCAUAUUUUGAUUGCUCCAGAAAACCAAGAGAAGAACACUUUAACUUGUCCAUAUGAGCUAUUUGUGUUGAAGAAAAUACCUUUAGGUCUAUGUAAUGCAUCGAUAACCUUUAAGAAUUAUAUAAUUUCCAUCUUUUCUGACAUGGUGGAGGUCACUAUUGAGGAAUUUAUGGAUAAUUUCUUGAAUGUUGAUGAUUUGUUUGAAGAUUGUUUAGCCUAUCUUUCUAGGGUCUUAAGAAGAUAUAAAGAUUGCAACAUUGUGUUAAAUUAGGAGAAGUGCCACUUCAUGGUCAAAUAAGGAAUAAUGCUUGGUAACAAAAUUUCAAAGAAAG